ACGAACGCUGGCGGCGUGCUUAACCCAUGCAAGUCGAACGGAAAGGCCCCUUCGGGGGUACUCGAGUGGCGAACGGGUGAGUAACACGUGAGUAACCUGCCCUUGACUUCGGGAUAACUUCAGGAAACUGGGGCUAAUACCGGAUAGGAAUCCUUGCUGCAUGGUGGGGGUUGGAAAGCUUCGGCGGUUUUGGAUGGACUCGCGGCUUAUCAGCCUGUUGGUGGGGUAGUGGCUUACCAAGGCUUUGACGGGUAGCCGGCCUGAGAGGGCGACCGGCCACAUUGGGACUGAGAGACGGCCCAGACUCCUAAGGGUGGCAGAAGUGGGGAAGAUUGCACAAGGGGCGGAAGCCUGAUGCAGCAGCGCCGCGGGCGGGAUGACGGCCUUCGGGUUGAAAAACGCUUUCAGCAGGAGCGAAGCUUGUGGUGACGGUACCUGCAGAAGAAGCACCGGCUAACUACGUG
rnacentral:rRNA from 1 species